AUGCAAUGAUGAGGGCACUUUCGUAAUAACUCCUUGAACCGCUCUCAUGUCUCAUAUAAAGAUUCUUUAUCAAGUUGCUGAGAUGAAGUGAUUUCAUUUCGAAUAUU
rfam:Gossypium raimondii chromosome 5, whole genome shotgun sequence.